rnacentral:tRNA from 1 species
UGGGGCCCAAGGGGUAGGGCAAGGGGUUUGGGCCCCCUUAUUGGAGGGUUGGAUCCUUUCCUYCCCAGA